rnacentral:rRNA from 1 species
UACGGGGGUGGCAAGCGUUGUUCGGAAUUACUGGGCGUAAAGGGCGCGUAGGCGGGGAGGUAAGUCGGGUGUGAAAUCCCUCGGCUCAACCGAGGAACUGCGCCCGAGACUGCCUUUCUUGAGUCCCGGAGAGGAAGGUGGAAUUCCCGGUGUAGCGGUGAAAUGUGUAGAGAUCGGGAGGAACACCGGUGGCGAAGGCGGCAUCCUGGACCAAUAUUGACGCUGAGGAGCGAAAGCCAGGGGAGCAAACGGG